rnacentral:rRNA from 1 species
GCUGGCGGCGUGCCUAACACAUGCAAGUCGAGCGAUGAAAUCCUUCGGGAUGGAUUAGCGGCGGACGGGUGAGUAACACGUGGGUAACCUGCCUCAAAGAGGGGAAUAGCCUUCCGAAAGGAAGAUUAAUACCGCAUAAUAUGUUUUGGUCGCAUGAUCGAAACAUCAAAGGAGCAAUCCGCUUUGAGAUGGACCCGCGGCGCAUUAGCUAGUUGGUGAGGUAACGGCUCACCAAGGCGACGAUGCGUAGCCGACCUGAGAGGGUGAUCGGCCACAUUGGAACUGAGACACGGUCCAGACUCCUACGGGAGGCAGCAGUGGGGAAUAUUGCGCAAUGGGGGAAACCCUGACGCAGCAACGCCGCGUGAAUGAUGAAGGCCUUCGGGUUGUAAAGUUCUGUCUUCUGGGACGAUAAUGACGGUACCAGAGGAGGAAGCCACGGCUAACUACGUGCCAGCAGCCGCGGUAAUACGUAGGUGGCAAGCGUUGUCCGGAUUUACUGGGCGUAAAGGAUGCGUAGGCGGACAUUUAAGUCAGAUGUGAAAUACCCGAGCUUAACUUGGGUGCUGCAUUUGAAACUGGGUGUCUAGAGUGCAGGAGAGGUAAGUGGAAUUCCUAGUGUAGCG